rnacentral:rRNA from 4 species
UUUAAUUGAAGAGUUUGAUCAUGGCUCAGAUUGAACGCUGGCGGCAGGCCUAACACAUGCAAGUCGAGCGGUAACAGAUUGAUAGCUUGCUAUCAAUGCUGACGAGCGGCGGACGGGUGAGU